UACGUAGGGGGCAAGCGUUGUCCGGAUUUAUUGGGCGUAAAGCGCGUGUAGGCGGCCACACAGGUCCGCUGUGAAAACUCGAGGCUCAACCUCGAGCUGUCGGUGGAAACCGUGUGGCUAGAGUCCGGAAGAGGAGACUGGAAUUCCCGGUGUAGCGGUGGAAUGCGCAGAGAUCGGGAGGAACACCCGUAGCGAAGGCGGCACUCUGGGCCGGUACUGACGCUGAGGAGCGAAAGCGUGGGGAGCAAACAGG
rnacentral:rRNA from 1 species